UGCAAGUCGAGCGGUAGCACAGAGAGCUUGCUCUCGGGUGACGAGCGGCGGACGGGUGAGUAAUGUCUGGGAAACUGCCUGAUGGAGGGGGAUAACUACUGGAAACGGUAGCUAAUACCGCAUAACGUCGCAAGACCAAAGUGGGGGACCUUCGGGCCUCAUGCCAUCAGAUGUGCCCAGAUGGGAUUAGCUAGUAGGUGGGGUAAUGGCUCACCUAGGCGACGAUCCCUAGCUGGUCUGAGAGGAUGACCAGCCACACUGGAACUGAGACACGGUCCAGACUCCUACGGGAGGCAGCAGUGGGGAAUAUUGCACAAUGGGCGCAAGCCUGAUGCAGCCAUGCCGCGUGUAUGAAGAAGGCCUUCGGGUUGUAAAGUACUUUCAGCGAGGAGGAAGGCGUUAAGGUUAAUAACCUUGGCGAUUGACGUUACUCGCAGAAGAAGCACCGGCUAACUCCGUGCCAGCAGCCGCGGUAAUACGGAGGGUGCAAGCGUUAAUCGGAAUUACUGGGCGUAAAGCGCACGCAGGCGGUCUGUCAAGUCGGAUGUGAAAUCCCCGGGCUCAACCUGGGAACUGCAUUCGAAACUGGCAGGCUAGAGUCUUGUA
rnacentral:rRNA from 1 species